CUACGUGCCAGCAGCCGCGGUAAUACGUAUGUCACAAGCGUUAUCCGGAUUUAUUGGGCGUAAAGCGCGUCUAGGUGGUUAUGUAAGUCUGAUGUGAAAAUGCAGGGCUCAACUCUGUAUUGCGUUGGAAACUGCAUGACUAGAGUACUGGAGAGGUAAGCGGAACUACAAGUGUAGAGGUGAAAUUCGUAGAUAUUUGUAGGAAUGCCGAUGGGGAAGCCAGCUUACUGGACAGAUACUGACGCUAAAGCGCGAAAGCGUGGGUAGCAAACAGGAUUAGAUGCCCUGGUAGUCCACGCCGUAAACGAUGAGUGCUAGGUGUUAGACCCUUUCCGGGGUUUAGUGCCGUAGCUAACGCAUUAAGCACUCCGCCUGGGGAGUACGACCGCAAGGUUGAAACUCAAAGGAAUUGACGGGGGCCCGCACAAGCGGUGGAGCAUGUGGUUUAAUUCGAAGCAACGCGAAGAACCUUACCAGGUCUUGACAUCCC
rnacentral:rRNA from 1 species